rnacentral:rRNA from 1 species
CCUGCCCGGUGACUCAACGUUCAACGGCCGCGGUAUCCUAACCGUGCAAAGGUAGCGCAAUCAAUUGUCCCAUAAAUCGAGACUAGUAUGAAUGGCUAAACGAGGUCUUAACUGUCUCUUACAGGCGAUCGGUGAAAUUGAUCUCCCUGUGCAAAAGCAGGGAUAACAACAUAAGACGAGAAGACCCUGUGGAACUUCAAAAUCAGCAGCCACCUCACAACGCAUUAACACCCACCGGGUUCACGAACACAUAAAGUGCUGGCCUGCAUUUUUCGGUUGGGGCGACCUUGGAGAAAAACAAAUCCUCCAAAAAUUAGACCACAACUCUAAACCAAGAGCAACCCCUCAACGUGCUAAUAGCGCCCAGACCCAAUAUAAUUGAUCAAUGGACCAAGCUACCCCAGGGAUAACAGCGCAAUCUCCCCCGAGAGUCCAUAUCGACGAGGAGGUUUACGACCUCGAUGUUGGAUCAGGACAUCCUGGUGGUGCAGCAGCUACCAAGGUUC